rnacentral:rRNA from 1 species
GAUGAACGCUAGCGGCAGGCCUAAUACAUGCAAGUCGAACGGUGUCUUCGGACAUAGUGGCGCACGGGUGCGUAACACGUAUGCAACCUACCUUACAUUGGGGGAUAGCCUUUCGAAAGGGAGAUUAAUACCGCAUAAGACAGUAGCUGGGCAUCCAGCAGCUGUUAAAGAUUUAUCGAUGUAAGCUGGGCAUGCGUCCAAUUAGCUAGUUGGUGAGGUAACGGCUCACCAAGGCAAUGAUUGGUAGGGGAACUGAGAGGUCAAUCCCCCACACUGGCACUGAGGUACGGGCCAGACUCCUACGGGAGGCAGCAGUAGGGAAUAUUGGGCAAUGGACGCGAGUCUGACCCAGCCAUGCCGCGUGCAGGAUGAAGGCGUUAUGCGUUGUAAACUGCUUUUAUACAGGAAGAAACGUCUCUUGCGAGAGGCAUUGACGGUACUGUAUGAAUAAGCACCGGCUAACUCCGUGCCAGCAGCCGCGGUAAGAC